AUCAGCCAAUUAUGUUAAACUAGCAUAUCUACUUUUAUUGUGUUUGUCUUUAGCCUGAUUAGAAAGGCCUUUAAAAUUGAAUUUUUUUAAAAGAAAAGUAUUUGAAUGCAUUUUGUUUUGGUAUUGUAUUUAUUCAAUAACUAUUUAAUUAGUGCUAAGUGUGAACUGGACCCUGUUGCUAAGCCCCAGCAAGCAAUCAUAUCCUAGGUAGGGUUAAAUCCCCAGUAAAAUUGCCAUAUUGCACAUGUCUUAAUGAAGUUUGAAUGUUAAAUAAAUUGCCAGAUUGCACAU